GAUGAAGAACGUAGCGAAAUGCGAUAAGUAAUGUGAAUUGCAGAAUUCAGUGAAUCAUCGGAUCUUUGAACGCACAUUGCGCCCCCUGGCAUUCCGGGGGGCAUGCCUGUUCGAGCGUCUCCAGGACGAAUCCUCGCGCGAGUGAACGCGCGGUCGUGGCGGAGGUGGCGUGCCCGAGCAGGGCGGCCACCGCGCUGGAAUCCAUGGGCGGACGCCUGCCGCGUGGCCGAGCGUGAUAUGACGCAUUGGCGCUCGUGCGCGGCGAGGCUGCCAGCCCUGGCCCGUCUGUCGGGCGGGGUAGAUCAACACGUGGGAACUCCUCGAAUCAGGUAGGGAUACCCGCUGAACUUAAGCAUAUCAAUAAGCGGAGGA
rnacentral:misc_RNA from 1 species